AUUGAACGCUAGCGGGAUGCCUUACACAUGCAAGUCGAACGGCAGCAUAAGAGAGCUUGCUCUCUUGAUGGCGAGUGGCGAACGGGUGAGUAAUGUAUCGGAACGUGCCCAGUAGCGGGGGAUAACUACGCGAAAGCGUAGCUAAUACCGCAUACGCCCUACGGGGAAAGGAGGGGAGUCUGCAAGGACCUUUCACUAUUGGAGCGGCCGAUAUCGGAUUAGCUAGUUGGUGAGGUAACGGCUCACCAAGGCGACGAUCCGUAGCCGGACUGAGAGGUUGAACGGCCACAUUGGGACUGAGAUACGGCCCAG
rnacentral:rRNA from 1 species